rfam:Daphnia magna strain Xinb3 scaffold01581, whole genome shotgun sequence.
CAAACGGCCCUUUUCAGGGCCACCAUUUCUAUAGAAAUGAUGAUUU